ensembl:lncRNA
AUGUUCGAAAAUAUAGGUCAAAUCUCGGUUUCUGUGGUUACCAAACACUGUCAACCACCCACUCCCUCCCUCGGGGGCGAUGCCAGGGUUCCGAGGCCGGGCAUCGGGCCUGGCCCCCGCCGGGGUCCCGGGUCUGCUGCCCCGCGGGCCUGCAGGGUCUGCACCGGGGCGAGGGCCCGCGGGCACCCUGCCCUUCACUUCUUUUCGUGGGAGGGGCUGGAGCGCUUGACGGAGCUGCCGACGGGGUCCGGGGUCGCGCCCAUCCCGCCUGGCUCCCCGCGCCCGCGGCUGCAGGGUGGGCACAGGCCGGGCCCGCUGAAGGAGGGGGAGGCCGGGCGCCGCAGGAACAAUGUGCUCGGUUGUUGCCGACUGUCAGCCUCAUUCCCGGAUCCUCCUUUCCACGCCCCUUGGCCUAACUGCCGCGGGCCCGGCGCGCAGAGGGAAGAGCCCCCUUAUUUGGUCUUGGAAAGAAAGGGGAAAGGUUAUCCUCAGAUGCCUGCGGCGUUGGGUCAUCAGCCCGCAGCGGCCGGCACGCACGCGGAGCAGCUCCGACUCCCGCCGGCAGGGGGCGGCGCCGGGCAGCGCCGGGGAGCAGCCGCUGGUAAACAGGCCCGCAGGUUCCGCGGCGGCGGGCGCCGAUCGGCUCUUGAGAGUGCGGAGGAGGUCCCACAGGGUCCUCCGCCCCUUCUCAUUGUUCGAGCGGCUUCCUGAGGGGGUUACCAAUAAUUUUCACUCACAAGACCUGCAUCGGGUUUCUUCAUCUGGAAAGAAAUUAAUUUUCAAGUCACACAAUUACAGACAACUUUUAAGAGUCGCUGUGACAGUUUCAUGCUUACCUUAGAUUAGAUGGUUCCAGUUUAUUCUUUUUUAAGAAAGAAAAUUUGCGUGAACAAAAUUAAAUCCAAGAAACAUGGUUUUUCUCUAGCUUUGUGUGUGUGUGUGUGUGAGAAAUAGUUAAAAAAAUAAAAUAAAAUAAAAUAAAGAAAAGAAGCUGCUUCUACCAGUUUUGGGAGGUUUCCAGGUUUUCAGACAUUUACUUAGCUUGAUACAUAGUAUAUUUCUGUGGGAAAAGGACAGCAUGAAUAUCUUAUAGCUUUUACUUCCAGCAUUGUUGUAUUGGUUACAGUCAACUCCACAGUAUGAACAAGUUGAUCAGCUCCGGUAAGGCCUCCCAUUUCCUAGUGGAAAAACCCAGGCCUUUUCCACUGCUCUUGUGUCUUGCUCGGGACCGCACUUUUUGUUGCUAGUCCCUUGCUUGGCACUUCCUAGCUGACAGGCCAGGAGGCAGGCUCACUCUCCUUGGCAAUGACUCUGCUAAUCCCAGACACCAGCUUCCAUGAGAACCAGCAGUCACUUCCAGCUGGGGGCAACCCCAUCUGGGUUUGCCCUGACAUCCCAGAGCCCAGGUCCCCAUCCCAGGAGCCAGUAAGAGUCCUCAGCAGGGUCAGGAAUGUAGCAGCAUGGCUGCUGCCUUUUCCCUUCCAGAUGCAGGCUGGAGCCUGGGGGUCCCUAACGCCUGCCUUGGCUCUGCACUUCUUCCUGAGGUUCUCCUCAGCAUGAAACUACUCCCAAAUGGAGAUAUGGUUCCAUUCCAUUGCCUGGAUUCUGCUCUCUGUUUAUGCCAAAGGAAUGUGACACUGUCCCAGCAUCAUCUCAGGGGCUGCCCUAUUUGGAGGGGCAGUGGUACCCAGCAAUGGAGCAAGGACAUAGGGAACAGAGCUGCACAGCCUUGGUCACACUCCUUAAACUCUUUGUGCUCCCCCUGUUGUGAGGAUUUAAUGAUAGCUUCAUAUGUGAAGGACUUAACACAGUACCUGCCCCCUGGGGAGCACAGGUGGGCAUACCUCCCAGGGUAGUUCAGAGGAUUACGUGAAAUAAUGCCUGUAAAAACCCUUAGCCCAGGGCCUAGCACUUAAGAGAGGGCACAGUCAUGUGGCCAGUAGUAUAAUCAGCUACUUCUUUUGAUGGGUCAGCUAUAUGCUACAAACUAAGGCUCUUUACUUAUACAUUUGAAUCUUUGUGGAAACCUAGAAUGUAGACAAAAUUAUUGCAUAUAAAAGGAACUCAGAAUCAGGCUAAGUAAGUUACCCAGUGUCACACAGUUAGUAUACAGCAGGGCCAGGAUCCAUCUGGCUCCAAAGUGUGUGGUUUUGCAGUUAUGGGCAACCUUGGAAGAAAGAAUAAAUCAUAAACAGUCCUAUAAAGUGAGCUGCAGGGUCUUCAUGGAGAGGAAUUAAAACUGACUCCUCAGUGUGAAUAACUGGCAGUUAGCCAUGUGUCUUUGAAACGGAUGUACAAGCCAGUGACAGAAGGCUAAUUACACAUGUAGACAUAAUGCCAGUGGACAGCAGCUACCUUUGGGUCUCCUGACUACUGUCUUCUUAAAUCCUUCAAGCCACAUGGCAGUCCUUUUAAGCCCAGUCCUUUUAAGGCUUGUCAGGACUCUUCCUGUUUUCUGGAAAAGACAGAAAUCCAACCCAGACUGAUUUAAGCAAAAAAGAAAUUUAAUUGGCUCAUGAAACUGAUAAUGGAAGGGUCCAGCUUCAGGCAUAGCUUGAUACAGGAGAUUAACAACAUUAUAUCGACUGGCCUUCUCCAUGUCUUAGCCCUGUUUUCCUCCCUGUUGGCUUUAUUCUCAGGUUGGCUCUUUCAGUGAACCUUUUUUGUCCCUUGUUGGCCAGGCCUAAGAGAACUUAGAGACUUGGGUCUCUAAAAGAAAUCAUGGUUCCCUUUAUUAAAAGAGGUCAGGGAUGCUGAGCAGGUAAGUAUGACGGAUGUCCACUACACCCUGCCUAUGUACACCAUGGGUCAGAAAGAUAGUAGAGAAAACGCCAGGCACAGGUGGCUCAUGCCUGUAAUCCUAGCACUUUGUGAGGCUUAGGUGGUCAGGUCACUUGAGGCCAGGAGUUUGAGACCAGCCUGGCCAACAUGGUGAAACCCCCUCUCUACUAAAACACAAAUAUUAGCAGGGCAUAGUGGUGCAUGGCUGUAAUCCCAGUUACUUGGGAGACUGAAGUGGGAGAAUUGCUUGAACCCAGGAGGCAGAAGUUACAGAUUGCACCACUACACUCCAACCUGGGUGACAGAGCGAGACUCGCCUCAAAAAAAAAAAAAAAAAAAGGAAAAAGAAAAAAAAGAAUGAUAAUAGAGAAAAAACUUUAAUGGUUUAAUGGUGAAUGUAUUAGUCCAUUCUCUCAUUGCUAUAAAGAAAUACCUGAGACUAGGUGAUUUAUAAAGAAAAGGGGUUUAAUUGGCUCACAGUUCUGCAGGCUAUACAGGAAGCAUGGCAUCAGAUUCUGGGGAGGCCUCAGGGAACUUACAAUCAUGAUGGAAGGCAAAGGCAGAGCCAACAUUUCACAUGGCCAGAGCAUGAGGAAGAGAGGAGCAGGGGAGUCGCCACACACUUUUCAACAACCAGAUCUCACAAGAAGUCACUAUCUCCACGACAGUACCAACAGGGAAGUCCGCCGCCAUGAUGCAAUCACCUCCCACCAGACUCCCACCUCCAACAUUGGGGAUUACAAUUCAACAUGAGAUUUGGCUGGGGACACAAAGCCAAACUAUAUCAGUGAUCAGUUCUGCUGCUAAGGGCACUCACAAACCAAGCACGCAGGGGAGGGGUAACUAGAAGUGUUUUGGGUUACACAGGAGACCCAUACUCCUCCCAUUUUGAGUCAGACUAGCCAAUUUUAAAUAGUAGAAAGGCCAGGUGUGGAGCCUCACACAUGUAAUCCCAGUACUUUGGGAGGCCGAGGUGGGUAGAUCACUUGAAGUCAGGAGUUCGAGACCAGCCUGGCCAGAAUAAUCCCAGCUACUCAAGAGGCUGAGGCAGGAGAAUCACUUGAACCUGGGAGGUGGAGGUUGCAGUGAGCCGAAAUGGAGUCACUGUACUCCAGCCUGGAUGACAGAGGGAGAUUCUGUCUCAAAACUAAAUAAAUAAAUAAACAAAUAACAAAGAAAAACCUUGCUAUCCAUAAAGAUUGGGUGUGAAGGACUUUAGAAAUCUUCAAUGUCCUAGUGUAGCAGAAUGCUUUAACAAUAUGAUACAUAAUAAUAUAAACAGAAUACAUAACAAAAUGCUUUAACAAUGUAAAUAUUACAAAUAAGUAUAAAUGUACAUAUUUGUACAUAUGUGGUAUUAUGUAUAAUAUAAUGAUAAUAAAUAAGUGUAAAAAUGCAGUAAAGUCUUACUGAACCUACUGAACUAAAGAUCCCUGUAGACCCUUA